UACGUAGGGGGCGAGCGUUGUCCGGAUUUAUUGGGCGUAAAGAGCGUGUAGGCGGUUCGGUAAGUCUGUCGUGAAAUCCCGAGGCUCAACCUCGGAACUGCCUUUGAUACUGCAAAUCUCGAGUCCGGAAGAGGUGAGUGGAAUUCCUAGUGUAGAGGUGAAAUUCGUAGAUAUUAGGAAGAACACCAGUGGCGAAGGCGGCUCACUGGUCCGGUACUGACGCUGAGGUGCGAAAGCGUGGGGAGCAAACAGG
rnacentral:rRNA from 1 species